rfam:Cardiobacterium hominis ATCC 15826 genomic scaffold SCAFFOLD6, whole genome shotgun sequence.
GCGCCGAAUGCGCGGGAAACUACAGAAAAACAAGGUCGCGGGUUCGAGUCCCGCCCCGUUGGCCCGCCAACGGGUAGUUCAGUUGGAUAGAACAUGGCGUGUUUCCCGCUACCUCGUCGGCGCGGC